CUCAACACACGGCAUUCCUGCUGUACACAAAUAAGACUCUUGGAGAACAAGCCAGACCCAGUCCCCACUCCCAGAGUCUUCAGUUUGUGUUUGCAGGCUAUAUGAGACGGAGCAAGACAAGUGCACCCACGGUCGGCUAAGAUGGACAGAGGAGAGAAGACUCGGUGCUCUAAAAAUUGAAAACCAGGAAAGGCAUAAUGGUUUGCUGUGAACAGCGUCACUGCCUAUUAGGACAAAAAGCCACUCAGAAAAACAGGCUUUCUAUCAUUGACCCCGAAGAGAGCAGAAGCUGCCAGAGCUGACCUUUCCGUAACUUGUUCAAAUCCACGGUGGAAAUAGUAUUACUCCGGGAUGGCGGCAUGCCUGCUGUAGGGAUACAGUAACUGCUGUCGGUGUCUGAGGCUGUGCGUGGGACGCCACACGUUUCCACAGGAGACCGGUCAUGAGUUGGAUGUGGCUUUGGUGGUCGAGGUGGGGGAAUAUCAGGAAUGGUGUCCAGCUUGGAUGACUGUCCCAAGGUGCCUUCUGGAAAUGUCCGUGGAAUCUGGUAAAAUUCCAUUAUAACAAACAAGACAAAACCAUCUGUGGAAUGUUCAUGAACUCCUCCCACUAUCCUUGGGAAUGGUUAACAGAAACCAUUUCUGGAGGUUUUAAGCUCUACAUUUUUUGUUUGUUUGUUUGUUUGUUUGCUUUUCAAGACAGGGU